AAGAGGCAUUUGCAGACACUUGUGACAUCACAGGAGAAGCUAGGGCUCUCCAGGAUACAAGAGAUUUUUCAUGGAGGGCCUAAUGAUGAAUGUCUCUGAGAACUGCCAUGGCCUACCUGUAAACAGCUUUCUUUACAUUGACCAGUUUCAAGAGUGCCUUUCCAGGUCUCCAGUCUUUCCAAUUCUCCUCCAAAUGUGUUGGAGAAGACCCCUGUGGUCGAGGGGAGGUACAACAAGCCCCAUCAAACAAAAUGGUCUCCACAUCUUCUUCUCUUAAAGUCUUGACCUAGAUGCGCAGAAUUCAUGUUAAAAUUCCAGCUAAAAUUAUAGCUGUAGGAGCCAACAAAAGUACAUAUAUAUACAUCAGCCACCGAAACUACACAAGAUUGAUGGAGAUUUUAAAAAAAGAUUACAAGAGCUGAAGGGCUUUAACACUACAAGAACAACAAUGCCAAUGAACCAGAGCUUUCUGAUACUAGAACAAUAUUCAAAGAAUGUACAUGGACAGAGCUAUGGCUCCAACUGCAUAUGUGGAAGAGAAUAGACUUGGUGGGCACCAAUGGAAGGAGAAGUCCUUGGUCCUCCCUAGGUUUGACUCCAAGUUCAAGGACCUUUUCUUCUUGCGAAAAAGUGUAAAGGUCAUGAGUUCUCAGGAAAACAACUGUGCCCUUCACAACACUUGGCUUUUGGAAUAAAGAAAUAAAUGAUAUAAA